CUCUUUCUUUCCCUCUUUAUAUAUUCAUCCAUCUCUCUCUCUCUCUCUCUCUCUCUCUCUCUCUCUCUCUCUCUCUCUCUCUCUCUCUCUUUCUCUCUCUCUUUCUCUCUCUCUCUCUCUGUAUAUCUCACUCUCACCUUCUGACCAUGUAUCAAUAAACCAAGAAUACUGCGGCAAGAGGGAGGCUAAAACUUAGGAGGGCCGAAAGUUUUUCCAUUGUUUUUAUCACUAUAACCACCUGCACUCCAGUUUAACCAGAACUUGUCUUCUGUGGAAGGGACAGGACUCAAAUAUGAUCGACCAAUCAUUGCAUUCGGUCCGAAUGUAAUGAUAGGAUGUCCUUCCUGUCUGUCAAUCUAUAUUUGCAUACCGCCGUGCAACUUGUUUGCGCAGACAAUCACAUGUCAUCAGUGCGGGUUCCUUGACGCUAUGCAGAGUGAGCGUGAGAAUAGAAAGUGAACUGCAGCUACCUUAUGUUCCUCCUGAACCACCAGAAAAGGAAACAAGAAAAGAAAGACCAUUUUAGAAACUUCUAUAACGAAAAAACAUCUGGAUCAAGAGCGUACUAAAAGCAGAAUUAACAUUGGCAUUGCUUUUCCAUGCUGGAGGCAACUGCGGGAUUCAGAGUGUCUGAAAAAUGACGCCAUGGUUGCUGUUUUUCUUUUGGACAGUUACGAAAGCACUGCAACAUCCACACCUUUGGUGCAUGGAUUCAUAAGGCCACCUCCACCAGCUGUUUAGACUAUUUCACACUCUGUGUGUGUGUGUGUUCAUGUGUGAUAGAGGAGGCAUGGCUUUGGAGACACCUCUGAAGCAAGGGCGGGCUCUAUGCUUUCAAAGCUAGCUUGCUAACUGCUAGCCUCUCUGGAUUACACACCCUAGCUUUAAGUGCCGAUUCAGGUGGCUGGAUCCCGUUGGUGGACUUAUGCUGUACAGUCCCAGCAAAGUAUGCUGUAGUCUGCUGCCUCCUUCACGAUCUAGCACUCUGAACUGACCCGUAAGAUCUGGAACACUUUGUAGACGUGUUUACACCAUUACUCGAAUUGGGCGCUAAACAAUGCAGACAGUUCAUGCAAAUAAAUGGUGUUUUAAGUGGGUUUUGAGUUCAUUCUUGCAUUCA